rnacentral:rRNA from 1 species
UACGUAGGGGGCAAGCGUUGUCCGGAUUUAUUGGGCGUAAAGAGCGUGUAGGCGGUUUUACAAGUCCGCUGUGAAAACUCGAGGCUCAACCUCGAGCUGUCGGUGGAAACUGUAAGGCUAGAGUCCGGAAGAGGAGAGUGGAAUUCCCGGUGUAGCGGUGAAAUGCGCAGAUAUCGGGAAGAACACCGGUGGCGAAGGCGGCCAUCUGGACCGCAACUGACGCUGAGGCGCGAAAGCGUGGGGAGCAAACAGG